CCUACGGGGUGCAGCAGUGGGGAAUAUUGGACAAUGGGCGAAAGCCUGAUCCAGCCAUGCCGCGUGUGUGAAGAAGGCCUUCGGGUUGUAAAGCACUUUCAGUGGGGAAGAAAGCCUUGGGGCUAAUACCCUCGAGGAAGGACAUCACCCACAGAAGAAGCACCGGCUAACUCCGUGCCAGCAGCCGCGGUAAUACGGAGGGUGCGAGCGUUAAUCGGAAUUACUGGGCGUAAAGCGCGCGUAGGCGGUCUGAUAAGCCGGUUGUGAAAGCCCCGGGCUCAACCUGGGAACGGCAUCCGGAACUGUCAGGCUAGAGUGCAGGAGAGGAAGGUAGAAUUCCCGGUGUAGCGGUGAAAUGCGUAGAGAUCGGGAGGAAUACCAGUGGCGAAGGCGGCCUUCUGGACUGACACUGACGCUGAGGUGCGAAAGCGUGGGUAGCAAACAGGAUUAGAACCCCAGUAGUC
rnacentral:rRNA from 1 species